AUAUUAAACCAGGAUUAUAUUGCAUCUUUCUAUGUUUGCAUUGCAUCAUUUGAUCUACCAUUGCGUGACAAGGUAAAUCAUGUUUACCUGAAAGCUCCAUCCCUAUCCCUUUGUUGUCAAAAUACAUGCCAUCCAACAAAAUCACACCACAAUCUAAAAAUUUAAUGCAUUUAAACUACAUCAUGUCUCCUGUUCUUUCACUGUUCUCCUAGACAUCCUAAACUUUUCGUGCAUGCAUGGCGUGGCACUCCCACCGUGCUAAGAGUAGUAUUCUUAAGAUUCCCAUUUGCUGCCACCCUGAACAAGCUAGAGAAUUAUAAAAUCUCCCCCCAAAUACGCAUAUUCAUUCUUUCAGGCUAAGCCUUGCAUUUUGAACUUUCACUGACAGCUUCAACUUCUGUUCUUCCAUAUCUCUUAAAACGGCUAGCAAGUUUGCUCUAUAAACAUCACAGCGUUGAUUUGUACUCUCCAACUCAGCAGUCAAUUCACGAAUUUUCUUCUCCUUCUCAUCCGCAGAUUGAAAUGUUGUUGGUCUAUUUUCAUCAACUACAUGUAGCACUUGACUGUCUCCAUUGGUCAGAGCUACACCCUCUGUGUCACCAGCACUUUUAUUUUUUGCAGCAGCAACCUUCUUAGCAGCCUCUUGUAGAGCAUCCAUUGCCACAUUAUAUAUGUGAAUAGAUUUUGCCCCUUCUUCAACAUAUUUGAUUGCUUCCUGUCGCAAAUUGUUAUACCUAACAGUUAAAGAUUCU
rnacentral:misc_RNA from 1 species